UGCCCCAUGGCCAAGUGGUAAGGCUCUGGACUCUGACUCCAGCAUCAUAGGUUCGAAUCCUAUUGGGGCAACCA
rnacentral:tRNA from 1 species